GUGCCAGCAGCCGCGGUAAUACGGAGGGUGCAAGCGUUGUUCGGAAUCACUGGGCGUAAAGGGCGCGUAGGCGGCCCAGCAAGUCGGAUGUGAAAGCCCUGGGCUCAACUCAGGAAGUGCAUCCGACACUACUGGGCUUGAGUACGGGAGAGGGAAGUGGAAUUCCCGGUGUAGGGGUGAAAUCCGUAGAUAUCCGGAGGAACACCGGUGGCGAAGGCGACUUCCUGGCCCGAGACUGACGCUGAGACGCGAAAGCGUGGGGAGCAAACAGGAUUAGAUACCCUGGUAGUCCACGCCGUAAGCGAUGGGCGCUAGGUGUGGGAGGUUUUUAAUCCUUCCGUGCCGCAGCUAACGCAUUAAGCGCCCCGCCUGGGGAGUACGGCCGCAAGGUUAAAACUCAAAGGAAUUGACGGGG
rnacentral:rRNA from 1 species